AGGUCAUUUCAAAGAGGGCAUGUGGGCUGUGAAACCAGGAGCUCUUAACUCGAUGACCAAAGAUUGAAGUUCUCCAUAGGCUGCCAUAGUCAUUCAAUAGCACCAAGGUUUUCUGAGGAGAAAAAAGA